GCUGAGGUUCGAUAACUGCGGAACUGUAGCAAUACCGGAUGUGUCUGUAAAGAGAAGAUUUAUCGCCUUCAGAUGAGCCNGCACUAGAUUAGCUAGUUGGUGAGGUAACUGCUCCACCAAGGCUACGAUCUAUAGCUGAUUUGAGAGGAUGAUCAGCCACACUGGGACGGAGACACGGCCCAGACUCCUACGGGAGGCAGCAGUAGGGAAUAUUGGACAAUGGGGGNNACCCUGAUCCAGCAAUGCCGCGUGAGUGAAGAAGGCCUUCGGGUUGCAAAACUCUUUCAUCAAUGAUGAUAAUGACAUUAGUUGAAGAAGAAGCUCCGGC
rnacentral:rRNA from 1 species